rnacentral:misc_RNA from 1 species
ACCCCAUUAACCCACUAAACCUUAACCCACGGCUGUGAACUUCCCUCUCUCUUCUUCUGGUUUUUCUCUACAACGGAUUUGGAUUGCUAACGAUUCUUUCUUUUUAGCCAAAGCUUUGUUCUUCAACAAUCUCUCUCCAUCUCUAGCUUUCUUCAGCUCUUUUCGUUGCACCAUUUUUUCGUCCACUCUAAAAAGCUUCUUUCUUUGAAGCUUUAUAUCUCAAAGAACAGUAUUUUCAUUGUUUGCUCUGCUGGAGCAAGACCUCCUCUUCAUCAAUGGGUGCGUCAGGAAAAUGGGUAAAAUCUCUUAUAGGUCUCAAAAAGUCCUCCGAUAAAGAAGAUCUUGGGAAGAUGGGUGGUAAGAGCAAGAAAUGGAAGCUGUGGAGAAGCAGUUCUGGUGAAUUGGGUUCUUCAUGGAAGGGUUUCAAAGGGAGCCAUAAAGCAGCAUCUGAAUGUUCAGGAUCUUCACCAAUGACUGAUGCUUUUAGUGCAGCAAUGGCUACUGUUGUUCGAGCUCCUCCUAAGGAUUUCAGGGUUGUGAGGCAAGAAUGGGCGGCGAUCCGGAUUCAAACUGCUUUUCGUGGAUUCUUGGUAAAUGGGUUUCUUUUUGUUCUCUGAUCAUCUCUGUGUAGAAAGUUGAAUAUUUUGAUUUGGAACAUAGAACUUGCUAUUUUGGUCAAAAUACACCUCUCUUCUCUCUUUGGGAAUUAGUUAGAUAUACACAGAAGUCAUGUAUAAAUAAUUAAACAGUUGAUUUGAACUUCUAAAACUCAUUGUUAAUGCACAGAGCUUUUAUGUUGGUCUAGAAUAGUUGUCUUUAUGCCACCGAAAAUGGUCUUGGUAUGGCAUAGUAUUUGGUGAACAUUUUGUAAUGAAUUGUAGGCGAGGAGGGCUUUGAGGGCCUUGAAAGGAGUGGUAAGGCUUCAAGCUUUAGUUCGGGGUCGACAAGUGAGGAAGCAGGCUGCAGUGACACUUAGGUGCAUGCAAGCUCUUGUUCGAGUUCAGGCUCGAGUCAGGGCUCGUCGGGUGCGGAUGUCCAUAGAAGGGCAGGCUGUGCAGCAAAUACUAAAUGAACGGAGAAGCAAGUCCGACAGGUUGAAACAGGCUGAGGAAGGGUGGUGUGAUAGCAAGGGGACAUUGGAAGAUGUUAAGGCAAAGCUACAAAUGAGGCAUGAAGGAGCCUUCAAGAGAGAGAGAGCAAUUGCAUACUCUCUUGCUCAGAAGGUAUUCAAAUAUUACCAUUCUAUCUGAAUUAUGGUCCAUAAUUGCUCAUUUCAUACAUGCGAAGUGCUUUACCAAAUCUUUUGUUUUCUCAGCAAUGGAGAUCCAACCCCAGUUCAAAUAUUCGAAUUAAUGGCUCGUUAUCGACUUUCAAGAAUCAUGAGUUUGAUAAGAAUAGCUGGGGAUGGAGUUGGCUAGAACGUUGGAUGGCAGCCAAGCCAUGGGAGACUAGAUUGAUGGAACAAUCCCAAACUGACCCUUCUGAGACAACUCCACCAUCGAAGUCCUGUGUAGACUCCUUCGUGAGCAAAAAUACAAAAUCUUCUGAACAAAGCUUAGUUAAAGUCAGAAAGAACAAUGUUACCACUAGGAUAUCUGCAAAACCUCUAAAUGGGCACGUUACUCGCUCAUCAUCAAGCCCAAGUUCUGAAUUUCACUAUGACGAGAGCUCAGCUUCAUUUUCAUUUUGCACGUCUGCAACACCAGCUUCAGGAAACACUUGCCUGGCCUCGGAUGGAAUAGAGGAGAGUGGUUAUAGUAGGCCAAGCUAUAUGAACCUCACUGAGUCAACCAAGGCGAAGCGGAAAUCAUCUAAUCAUUUGUCUAACAGAAUUCAAAGGCAAUCCAUGGAUGAGUUUCAGUUUCUGAAAAGGUCAGAAGCAUUCUCAAAUGCUGAUUCAAAAAGCAGUGCUGGUUCUGAUCCUUCUUCAGUUAAUUUACCUAAGCCCCUUUGCAUGCCAACUAGAUUGGAUAAGAACUCAAUGAAACAAUUCAGAGGAACGGACCUGUAUGAUUAGAUAGAUCGGAUUAUGUUUCAGGCAGUUCAACGGCUUGUUGUUCUUUAAUGCUGAGAAUGUGUAUUAAUUAAGAGCAUCUGUGCAAUUAGUUAGCUGUAGCCAAAACAGAUCCUUGAGUUUGCGUUUUGAGGCUUAUCCAUUUUGCAAAAUAUUUAUGGCCUUGUCUUUUAUUACAUUUCCUACUUUGAAAAAGAAGAUAAUAGGAUUUUGGCGGAGCCAGGAAUUAAUCUAGAAAAAGACACCCACUACCUUCAAAUAAUUUGGAAAAGACUAUAGAUGUAGCUAAGCCAUUCUCUUACCACUAUAUGAAGGCCUUAGUUUAUGCUAAUCUGGAACAUUAGUGCAUGGGGGAUGACUUAGAACAGACUACAACUGCAUAAAACAUUCUUCACCUUCGUUUUAUGACUCUAAGCUUUACACCAUGCUUGAAAUUGAGAACUAUGCCAUAUUCAAGUUCAAGAGGUUUUUCCAUGUUGGGAGAAUGUCGGAAUAUAAAUUUGCGGUAUAGGUGUAUCAGUGAUAGCUUUAAUUCUUGUAGGGAAAAUUUCUGGCCAAUGCAAGCUCGGGGCCCUAUUCCAAAGGGUAUCAGAGCAUAAGGGUGCCUUUGUUUCUCUUCUUCACAAUUAGGAUCAAACCUCUCAGGCUUGAACUUGUCUGGCUCUGGGAAGUUCUUUGGGUCUUUUGCUAGAACUCCAAGAGCUAACCAAACCCAUGUUCCCUUUGGGAGAAGGUAACCUCCUAUCUCUACAUCUUUUGAUGUCUCUCUGGCAACUAAUGGGGAAACUACAUAGAACCUCAUAGACUCUUUAAUCACCUGGUCAAGGUAGGGAAACUUGGUUUGAAGAUCAUGAGCAGUUGGCAUCUGAUCAGGUGGACCAAACCCAUCAAUUUCUGCAAGCAACUUCUUCUCAACUUCUGGAUGUCCAGAAACUAAAUAAACAAUUGAAGAUAAUGUGAAUGCUGUUGUUGCUGACCCAGCAAGAAGGUGCUCGUAUGUAACUGCACUAAUAUAAUCUGGAGUGAAAACAUUUCUUGACAGAGUCUCUGACUCCCUCGCACUUAAUAUGAGAGACAAGAAGUCCUUUGAACCACGAUUUUUGUCAUUCAUUCUCUUCAUUACGAUCUCAUCUAGCCGACCACUUAAAUUCUUAUUAGUCCUGUCAACUUUCCAAUCCAUAGUGCCAGGAAUUCGCUUAAGAAUCUGCCUGAAAGGCUCUUGCAGUAUAGGAAUAAGAAGACCAAUUAUAAUUGAAAAGGAACCGGACAAGUCCAUCUUAAGUUGUGUUGUUGAGUAGACAUGUUGAUUGAUAAAGUCUGAGACUUCAUUCCCGUUCUCUUGGUUCUGAGAAAUGCUGUUUGAAUCACUGUUUGACUGUGGCUUAGAAAGGCCGAAGUCAACUCCAAAUGCAGCUUGUCCUAUAAUAUCUGUGGCCAGUUUGAGCGAUAGAUUAGAGAAAGUGCGGUCUUCUUCCUCUUCAGAGGAUUGGAAAUUCUCAGUUGCAGACUCAAUGAAUGAUUGCAUGGUGGGCAAUAGGCUGGCUAAAUGUGAUGGCUGGUAGACUGAUAAUAUUGUGUUUCUCAUGGUUGACCAUCUUGCAUCCCUGGUGAAGAAGAGGCCUUUUUGGUGAAGAGGAGAAGCUGAGAUGGGAGAGGGAAUGCUCCUGUUUGGAAUAUCUUUGAAUUUCUUUAUUCCAACUUCUUUACAAAGCUCUGCAUCCGCUACAAUUAUCAGCGGUUGUCGUCCCAUAUGAAACCUGAAAAUGGGACCAUACUGCUUGGCAAGAACAGAGAAUACGUCAGGGCCGUACUUAGCGAGCAAAGGAAGGUGUCCUAAGAGAGGGAUUGCUGGAGGGCCUGGCACCUUCCUAACACCCCAGUAGGGCCUGUACAAGUAACCCAAGACUAUGGCCAAAGCCGUGAAAAUAAUUGUAAGCAUAGGAACACUAUUGAAGAACGCAUCAGCGAUACCCAGAACCAUGAUCAAUCUUUGAAGGGUAUGAAUCACUAAGUUGGUGGUUCUGUUCCAGAGAAGAAUAAGAAGAAGAGCUAAAUAGAGAAGGAUAAGUGGCCGUCUCCAUGAAGCAUCUUUUUGGGCAUUUGGUCUUGUC